CCAGGGGCUGAAGCUGGACCAGAGGCACAGAAGAGGCAUUAGAGACAGAAACAUAAAGACACGUCUCAAGGAGUUCUGCUUUACACAGGAGUUGAGGCAGAGGCUGCAGGGGAAGUACAGUCAAGAAAGGAAACCACCUUUUCAGGAGAUAAUCAUGAAAUCAGCUCCUGUGCAAAGAAGAUGAGAUUAACAGAAUGCAGCAGACUUGAAGUGUAGAAAACAGAAGAGAAUGGGAGAUAAAACAAAUAGAGAUUACCUUCCAGGGGGCAGGGGGUGUACAUAACAUACCUUAAAACAUAAAAACAGAAAGACAAACCAAAAGAGUCACUGUUAAAUAUGAGUGAAUUUAAUAUGACCACAGGAAAACAGUCCUGAACAGGAUCUUUUUCAGACUAUGGUGAAAAUAUUUUCUUUCCACAUGUAUUUUGUUCCCCAGAUGAUGAGACUCUUAAAUAUACCCUAGAAAAGAAGUUCUUUCUACAAAGCAUCCCCUUCAUAACUGCCUAUCAUGACACAGCAACCAAGAAACACAAAGCUUGUGCUGGGGACAGUCAACUGGUGAUUUCCUGCUAGACUUUCUCAACUCACAGGAUGAUGAAAUGGCCUGGUGUUGCAAUGCAGUUAUGACUUUGGGUGAAAACACAGGGCAUCCAAGACAGAAGUGGCCAAAGACAGUGGUGCCCAGCAAGAAGUUGUUCCUACAAAGGAAAUUGCAGUUUCUAAGAUGAAGAGGAAGUCAAGAGGGAGAAUUAAGUGUCUUAAGAACUUGAGAAAAUACUGAAGAAACUACUUGUGGUCUCACAUCUAUUUAAAGCCUUACAUAGUAUAUUCAGGUUAUCAUUAGUUAUAAAUUUGAAACUUUGCCAAUGCAGUUUAGGGUAAAGCUCACCCACAGAAAUCAAAUCAUGUCUGUUAGGGGCUGCUGUUCUCUUCUAUUCCUUGCAGAAAGCUCUUCUGGAAAAAUGUAUGGUGAUGAUAUUGACUGAAGGGACAGAGGAAGACCACUCUCACUCAUCUGCCCCUACACAGUUAAGAGUCCUGGUCAGAUUCCUCUACAUUUUACAAUGCCCUGCAUUGCCCUCUUCACACACAAACCCUCACACAAUAAGCAUCUAGUCUCUGUAAUAAAUGGCAACUUCUAGAGUUUAUUUCCACUUGCCUGUAAAAUGUACCCAAGUCACAAAGACCACACUACUAGUCAGUUCCUUGGCAUUAAAUGAAUUAACACAAAUUAUCAUUUUGAAUUUAAUACAACUUUCAUAAUAAGGUCUAAGGAACCUCUGGUAGAAGUUGUUCCUAUCUCCUCCAUCUGUAAACAACAGAAACUCAAUGGAAACUUCAUAUCCCACCCCCCCAUCUCUCUUUUUAAUUUUUUUUACCAUGUCCAGAAUUCCUUUCCUGAUGCUUAGAAAUAUUCACAGAACAGACCUUUUCCACCAUCAAGCAAGAAACAGUAUUGCAUAUAUGUUUUUAGUCAAUAAUAGGCUUUAAAAAUAUUUAAUAGUGGUAUUAACAAGGAGACUAUUAAGUUUUUCAUAAAAGACCACAUGUGACUUUUCCUGUAUCUAGAGUGUGUGACCACAUCGAUUUUCUAUCAAGACCCACAGCAUGUUCACCUCUGCAAGACGAUGUGAGGCACCAAGGACCUGCUUUUUACCCUAAUUUCCGAAAUCUUGUUUGGUACUAUUUCACUCUAAAUGAACUGCACUCAAGAGUGAGAUCUCCCUCACAAAACCACCUUUCCGACGUCUCAACUCCUUUUGACUCUGUUAAUAACCACUGAUAUCACCAUCCUACAAUUUCUAAUUUGGCUUUGGAAUCACUGUGUUCUUACAAUCUCCACCUGCCUUUCUCACCUUCAUUCACUUAACAAACACUGAUGAACAACAAGUGCUCUGCUCGACGCUGCGGCACAAACACGAAGACAGACGUGGGCUAGUUAUGGACAGGGAAUCAUCUGUUACAACAGAGUGUGCUACAUGCCAUGGAAGGAGGAAGGACAAAGUGCUAUAAGCCAAAAAGGAAGGCCAUCUCAGACUCCUUCACACGCUCUGACGUACAAAACUGGGACCUGGGGCUCCCAACAAGCAGACGCCUUGACUGUGGUACUUUCCAAAGGAGAGAUGCUGUCAACGUUUGGGACUAACAGUGUUCCAACACAAUGACAACAGAGGUGAUAUGAAUACUUCAUCUAAUGUGCCACAAAUAAUAUAAAAACAGUACUCUACUAAAAAUCUAUAGAAGUAAAAUGCCUCAUUCUCAUUACCAGAUGUCCAGGAAACCCCACUCACACUGAGUUAAUGUCUUAAGAUGAAAAUAAAUUGUACAAAAAUGUUAAUUCUACUACCUCCAGCUAGAGAGACUAUAGAAAAGUUGUGAUUAUCAGUUAAUAAUGCAGAGAAAACUCAAAAAAAAGAGGUGUGUGUGUAUCCUACAUCCUAACUUCUUAAACAUAAAUAACUAUGGGCAGGACAAAAACCCAUAAAAAAGAAAGAAAUAUAUUACAUGACAACAAAAUCUUUAAAAUUUUCCUACUGAUAUAAAGGUGAGAAAGUGCUCUAGAACUGAGAAAUUCUUAUGAGACAAUCUAAGCCAAUGACAUUCCAUAUUUACAGACAACUACAGAGAGCACAGGUGUGAAUGUAUUUAAUCAUCUUCUCUUCACAAGACUGCUGUGGGGCAGAUAUAACGAGAUCUUAGCCUUAAACCUUCAUCUUAAAUUAAGAAAAUCUGUGUUAGGUCCUGUCUCCUGCCACCACAGGAAAAUGGGCCAAACUCAGGAGUGAACGUACCUGUAAACCUAUCAUUUUGGACAUACAGUUAUUUGGGAAAAAAAUAAGAUAAUCACUCAAUAUUUAUUUCUUUAAAAUUAAAAAAUAAAAUGAAAUGGUCUGCCCAAAGCCCAGUUUACUUGUUAACAGAUCUGAUAAAUAAGGAUGGCAAUUCUUACCAGGGUGGAGAGCAAAGACUGUCAGAAUAAAAUACGUGUAAGCCACGAACAUUUUAGUGAGUAAACACUCACAAAUCCACUGAAUCACAGAUACGCAUAUUUAUAUUUAAUGUCCUCUAAUAUCAUUUACUAACCUUAAUGCGGCUUUAAAACACUACAUCCUCAACACAUAAGAAAUCUCCUUUCCUUUCUUUCUCAUUUCCUCCCCAAAUUUUUUUCAGAACUCCAAAUUCCAGAUUUCAAAUCUCUUUCUUACAAGUAAAAAAAACAAAGGCACAUAUUUAUGGAAAUGAGUUUGAGGCUCUUCGAGCCUUCCUUCUUAGACGCUCAGCUCAGUAAAAGCAGAAAUCAUAUGGUGAGGAAAAUAAAUGCUAUCUUGCUCCAUCAUACCACAGAAAGAAUGCAACCCAUACCAAAGUGAAAUGAUGCAGUAAAAAUAAGAUAAAGGAAAGAAGUUUGACUUAAGCAAAUGCCCUCCUUCUCUUGGCCUUCCUAAACCCCUCCACACUCAGUGCUUUUUUCACGUAGACAUCCUAGAACCUAGUGGGAUAUCGUUAAGAACUAUAAGAUACACACUGAGCAGAGCAGUGCACUGACGUCUCCAACACAGGCAAGAUAAGCACAAGUUCUGACUGGUGGCUAGGGAGUGGGUGUUGGGACGUGGAAACACAGUGGAAUGAUUUUCCCUCCCUUAGAUCCAAAUAGCAAGGUGUGUCAAGGCCCAGAAAUUUGGAUGGAAGACUCUAAGUAAAAGAUGAACAAGAAACAUGUUAGUAUAGAAAGUUUAAUGUGUUCCCUCCCUUACAAUCCCCGUUGAUAAAUUCACAUUUCCCCCUAUUCCUUAAUUUCCUACUUAUUUAAGAAUCAAAACCUUUUACAUGAGCACUCAACUUAAACUGAUGAGAAUACAAGGGGAUUCUUCUCUUAGGACCUAAAUCAAAGAUUCCAUUGUCGUCCUCAUCUGCCCUUUACCAGCAGAGUAAUGCUGGGCAAGGUUUUAAUUUGAGACUCAGCCAAAUUUUCCCACAGGCACAAUAGAGACAGUAAUGCCCACCUCAACAGGGCCACUGUGGAAACUGAAUGACAAAAAUAUACAUAAGCAAGAUCCUCUAGGACUCUGUAUAUCAGUUAGAAACCCACAUAACAGCAGAUGUCCUUACUGUACAAGUUUUAAAAACUGAAGUUCAACAUCCAAAUUUUCUAGGGCUUUAUGUAUAUACUGGUCUUAUUUUAGGUAUCAGAUGCAACCCUUCCCUGCCCCACCUACCUCAAAUGUGCUGUCUACUCAGGAAUGUUUUUCAUUACAAUUUCUCCUGGAAAUAUACGUUAUACAGAUCAUUACCACACGUUCAACCUAUGGGACGCAUUAGCUUUGUUAAUGAGCUCUCUACUUGGAAUUUAAUUAUCAUAUGAAAUUUUGGUAAUACAUUUUCAAAUAGCCAAGCCAUGUGAUCAUGCAUGCUUAUUACACAGUCAUUUCUUUAACUCUUUUCCUUAAUUAAGUACAGAAUCUUUCUUCACUUAGUUUUUCUCACAGAUGAAAAUUCCGAUGGUAUCAGGACACAUAUUUUGUUAAGCAUCCUCCACUACGAUAUGAAAGUUUCAGUACUGACAGACACUCAGAGUGAGAAAUCAUGGUCUGAUCCCUCAACUUUGUCCUGUCACCCUCAUUAUAGGCGUAAAACUGUCUGAUAAAAGUAGAGAAAUUUAAGGGAAUAAAUACAGAAUAAAAAAUAUAAUAUCACCGAUUCUAUUUUCAUGAGAACUGAAUGUUUACAACAGUUAUAUUUAGUUCUGCUUUCACCACAGAUACAGGUAUUUAACUCAUGAGUAUAUGAGUCUUGCCAGCAGUGUUUUCAAAAAAUCCCUGCCACUACCCAUCUGCCUGUCUUACCUCUACUCACUCAUUCACGAUGAUCCAGGCCCUCAGGAAACUUCAGUCCAGUUGGGGAGAAAGGUGCGUAAGGCAGUGCUUACUGGGAGCUAUGACAAAGGACACACUGGGAGCAAGAAGGGCACUGUGGUGACGUGAUACCCAAACCCUAGCUUUCGACUAGCGCUACAACGUGUCUCCUGAGGAAGGAGGGGAAGGAAGUAGUAUACUCCUUCCAGCAUUCAACAUUCUAAGGCUUUCUGAGAAAUUUAUGUGUAUUCAAUCUGCAUUAACAGUAUUUAAUACUGUUCAAAGGUCCUUGGAAGAGCAAUAAAUUAGUAUUUUUGCCAAAGGAAGAUUUGAUGGGGGAAAAAAAGUUUCUUCUGUUCAAGCUUUACUGGAAGCCCAGCGAAAGUAACCCAUGCAGAAAAAUGCCUGAAAGAAAUGUUUAUAUUAUAGCUUUUGCUAACAUGUUUGGUUUUAAAUACUUAAUAUAAGCCUGUAAAAGCAUAUGUGUAUGAUUUAUUCGCUUUAUUUUUUGAUAUAAAAUAUGUUCCCAUACCUAAA